rnacentral:rRNA from 1 species
CGCCCUUAUUAGAUACCCUGGUAGUCCACGCAGUAAACGAUGAAUGCUAAUUGUCCGUUGCGAAUGAGCGAUGGGUGAUACAGCGAAAGCGUUAAGCAUUCCACCUGGGGAGUACGCCGGCAACGGUGAAACUCAAAGGAAUUGACGGGGGCCCGCACAAGCGGAGGAACAUGUGGUUUAAUUCGAUGAUACGCGAGGAACCUUACCCGGGCUCAAACGCCGUCUGACGUAGGCUGAAAGGCUUAUUUCUUCGGACAGACGGCGAGGUGCUGCAUGGUUGUCGUCAGCUCGUGCCGUGAGGUGUCGGCUUAAGUGCCAUAACGAGCGCAACCCCUGUCGACAGUUGCUAACAGGCUAGGCUGAGGACUCUGUCGAGACUGCCGGCGCAAGCUGUGAGGAAGGCGGGGAUGACGUCAAAUCAGCACGGCCCUUACGUCCGGGGCGACACACGUGUUACAAUGGCAGGUACAGCGGGAAGCCACCCGGCGACGGGGCGCGGAACCCGAAAACCUGUCUCAGUUCGGAUUGGAGUCUGCAACCCGACUCCAUGAAGCUGGAUUCGCUAGUAAUCGCGCAUCAGCCACGGCGCGGUGAAUACGUUCCCGGGCCUUGUACACACCGCCCGUCAAGCCAUGGAAGCCGGGGGUACCUGAAGUACGUGACCGCAAGGAGCGUCCUAAGGUAAAACCGGUGACUGGGGCUAAGUCGUAACAAGGUAAC